rnacentral:rRNA from 1 species
AUUGAACGCUGGCGGCAUGCCUUACACAUGCAAGUCGAACGGCAGCACGGGAGCAAUCCUGGUGGCGAGUGGCGAACGGGUGAGUAAUAUAUCGGAACGUGCCCAGUCGUGGGGGAUAACGUAGCGAAAGUUACGCUAAUACCGCAUACGAUCUACGGAUGAAAGCGGGGGAUCGCAAGACCUCGCGCGAUUGGAGCGGCCGAUAUCAGAUUAGGUAGUUGGUGGGGUAAAGGCUCACCAAGCCAACGAUCUGUAGCUGGUCUGAGAGGACGACCAGCCACACUGGAACUGAGACACGGUCCAGACUCCUACGGGAGGCAGCAGUGGGGAAUUUUGGACAAUGGACGCAAGUCUGAUCCAGCCAUUCCGCGUGCAGGAUGAAGGCCCUCGGGUUGUAAACUGCUUUUGUACGGAACGAAAAGGUUUCUAUUAAUACUAGGAGCUCAUGACGGUACCGUAAGAAUAAGCACCGGCUAACUACGUGCCAGCAGCCG